rnacentral:lncRNA from 1 species
UUUCGUUGUUCGUUUUGUUCUUAUUCGCUGACAUUUGUUUUCCAAUUGCGUGAAAUUUGGUCAUUUCCUUAGUGUUUCGCUGACCGACCUGUGCUGGUAUUGUGAUUAAGAGCUAAUACACAUUUUUCGGACGAUUCUGCUGUGCUGCGUUCCUGCUCCGCCUGUAUAUUGCUCCGCCCGUAUUUUAUAGUGUUGCGUUCCUGUUGCGCCUUUGCAUUAGUGUGUGCGUUGUGAUUUAGACACGUUGAAAUUUUUUGUAUGCUUCUGCUGUGCUGCGUUCCUGCUCCACCCGUGUAUUAGAUUGCUGCGUUCCUGUUAACAUACAUAUCGUCGCUUAAAGUACAAAACCGCGUAACUGACAUUUGCUGCUAAAAAUUGGAUUCGCUCACACACGUUUUUGGAUCAAUCCUUAUCCAUUCUUCCUGAAAUAUACUAGCCAAAAAUGCGAUUG